rnacentral:rRNA from 1 species
CCAGACUCCUACGGGAGGCAGCAGUGGGGAAUAUUGCACAAUGGGGGAAACCCUGAUGCAGCGACGCCGCGUGAGUGAAGAAGUAUUUCGGUAUGUAAAGCUCUAUCAGCAGGGAAGAAAAUGACGGUACCUGACUAAGAAGCCCCGGCUAACUACGUGCCAGCAGCCGCGGUAAUACGUAGGGGGCAAGCGUUAUCCGGAUUUACUGGGUGUAAAGGGAGCGUAGACGGCAGCGCAAGUCUGGAGUGAAAGGCGGGGGCCCAACCCCCGGACUGCUCUGGAAACUAUUUGACUGGAGUGCCGGAGAGGUAAGCGGAAUUCCUAGUGUAGCGGUGAAAUGCGUAGAUAUUAGGAGGAACACCAGUGGCGAAGGCGGCUUACUGGACUGUAACUGACGUUGAGGCUCGAAAGCGUGGGGAGCAAACAGGAUUAGAUACCCCUGUAUC